rnacentral:rRNA from 1 species
CAGCAGUUCAAGUGGUGACCACUAUUAUUGGGCCUAAAACGUUCGUAGCCGGUUUGGUAAAUGCCUGGGUAAAUCGUGUAGCUUAACUAUACGAAUUCCGGGUAGACUGCCAAACUUGAGACCGGGAGAAGCUAGAGGUACUCCUGGGGUAGAGGUGAAAUUCUGUAAUCCUGGGGGGACCACCAGUGGCGAAGGCGUCUAGCUAGAACGGGUCUGACGGUGAGGACCGAAGCCCUGGGGCGCAAACCGGAUUAGAUACCCGAGUAGUCC